rnacentral:rRNA from 1 species
GCUAGGAUGAACGCUAGCGACAGGCCUAACACAUGCAAGUCAGGGGCGAGCACAAGGAGCAAUCUGAGGUGGCGACCGGCGGCACGGGUGAGUAACACGUAUGCAACCUGCCUGUAAGCGGGGAAUAACCCGUUGAAAGACGGACUAAUACCGCAUAAUACUAAAUUACUGCAUGGUAAUUUAUUUAAACAUUUAUGGCUUACAGAUGGGCAUGCGCAUGAUUAGCUAGUUGGAGAGGUAACGGCUCCCCAAGGCAACGAUCAUUAGGGGUUCUGAGAGGAAGGUCCCCCACACUGGUACUGAGACACGGACCAGACUCCUACGGGAGGCAGCAGUGAGGAAUAUUGGUCAAUGGACGAGAGUCUGAACCAGCCAAGUCGCGUGCAGGAAGAAUGUCCCUAUGGAUUGUAAACUGCUUUUGCAGGGGAAUAAAGUGCAUCACGUGUGAUGUUUUGUAUGUACUCUGCGAAUAAGGAUCGGCUAACUCCGUGCCAGCCGCAGC